GAGGUAGCUGGAAUAAGUAGUGUAGCGGUGAAAUGCAUAGAUAUUACUUAGAACACCAAUUGCGAAGGCAGGUUACCAAGUCUUAACUGACGCUGAUGGACGAAAGCGUGGGGAGCGAACAGGAUUAGAUACCCUGGUAGUCCACGCCGUAAACGAUGCUAACUCGUUUUUGGGUCUUCGGAUUCAGAGACUAAGCGAAAGUGAUAAGUUAGCCACCUGGGGAGUACGUUCGCAAGAAUGAAACUCAAAGGAAUUGACGGGGGCCCGCACAAGCGGUGGAGCAUGUGGUUUAAUUCGAUGAUACGCGAGGAACCUUACCAAGACUUAAAUGGGAAAUGACAGGUUUAGAAAUAGAUCCUUCUUCGGACAUUUUUCAAGGUGCUGCAUGGUUGUCGUCAGCUCGUGCCGUGAGGUGUUAGGUUAAGUCCUGCAACGAGCGCAACCCCUGUCACUAGUUGCUAACAUUCAGUUGAGGACUCUAGUGAGACUGCCUACGCAAGUAGAGAGGAAGGUGGGGAUGACGUCAAAUCAUCACGGCCCUUACGUCUUGGGCCACACACGUGCUACAAUGGCCAGUACAGAGGGCAGCUACCAGGUGACUGGAUGCGAAUCUCGAAAGCUGGUCUCAGUUCGGAUUGGAGUCUGCAACUCGACUCUAUGAAGCUGGAAUCGCUAGUAAUCGCGCAUCAGCCAUGGCGCGGUGAAUACGUUCCCGGGCCUUGUACACACCGCCCGUCAGCCAUGGAAGUCUGGGGUACCUGAAGUCGGUGACCGUAACAGAGCUGCCUAGGGUAAAACAGGUAACUAGGGCGAA
rnacentral:rRNA from 2 species